rnacentral:rRNA from 1 species
UACGAAGGGGGCUAGCGUUUUUCGGAAUCACUGGGCGUAAAGCGCACGUAGGCGGAUUUGUUAGUCAGGGGUGAAAUCCCGGGUCUCAACCUCGGAACUGCCUUUGAUACUGCAAAUCUCGAGUCCGGAAGAGGUGAGUGGAAUUCCUAGUGUAGAGGUGAAAUUCGUAGAUAUUAGGAAGAACACCAGUGGCGAAGGCGGCUCACUGGUCCGGUACUGACGCUGAGGUGCGAAAGCGUGGGGAGCAAACAGG